rnacentral:rRNA from 1 species
GAUGAACGCUGGCGGCGUGCCUAAUACAUGCAAGUCGAGCGAACGGACGAGAAGCUUGCUUUUCUGAUGUUAGCGGCGGACGGGUGAGUAACACGUGGAUAACCUACCUAUAAGACUGGGAUAACUUCGGGAAACCGGAGCUAAUACCGGAUAAUAUUUUGAACCGCAUGGUUCAAAAGUGAAAGACGGUCUUGCUGUCACUUAUAGAUGGAUCCGCGCUGCAUUAGCUAGUUGGUAAGGUAACGGCUUACCAAGGCAACGAUGCAUAGCCGACCUGAGAGGGUAAUCGGCCACACUGGAGCUGAGAAACGGUACAGACUCCUACGGGAGGCAGCAGUAGCGAAUCUUCCGCAAUGGGCGAAAGCCUGACGGAGCAACGCCGCGUGAGUGAUGAAGGUCUUCGGAUCGUAAAACUCUGUUAUUAGGGAAGAACAUAUGUGUAAGUAACUGUGCACAUCUUGACGGUACCUAAUCAGAAAGCCACGGCUAACUACGU